GAGGCUGCUCCCUUGUCCCCUCUGCCUUUCCUGGCACGUGGAGGUGGCACUGUGCUGGUGCUGCAAGGGGGAAUGGUUCCCACCAUUGGGAUGGAGACUGGGAGGGAAUCCUGCCCUGCCACCCUCACAGGGGGUGCCCACAGAGCUGUGGCUGCCCCUGCACCCCUGGAAGUGUCCCAGGCCAGGCUGGACAGGGCUUGGAGCACCCUGGGAUAGUGGAAGGGGGAAUGAGAUGAGCUUUAAGGUCCUUCCAAGCGAAACCAUUCUGUGAUUCCACAAAAGAAAAAAAAAUAAAAAGGUGGGGAAUGACAAUGGGAAAAUGAGCCUGUCCUGAGCAAGAUGUUUGGUCCAACCUGUCCUUCCCACAGGUGUGAUCCAUGUCAGCCCAGCCCAGGUACCACAGGAUGUGCCAGCAGUGAUGCAGUUUUCACACCCCAUUUCCAGCUCACCUCUGGCACUUCGGUGCAGCAAAGGCCCAGAGAUUUGCUGUCAGGGCAAGGAAGCAUCAGAAUCAGUCCUGAAAAUCCAGGCUGCUCCCCACAAGAGCUGUGUCCCUGCUCAGCUGGCACCUGCCAAAAUCCUGAGCAGCUCAGCUCAGCCAGGGAAUGAUUAAUUGUUCCUGUAUCUGCCUGCCCCUUGGCACUCUGUGGAUGCUGAAGGCUGUCUGGAAUAUUCUGAAGUUGGGGAAAGUUGGAGACUGGGGCUCUCUGGGUGUUUGGCUGCUUGGAGUGGGGAGGAAGCCGUGGCUGCUGUGAUGAACUGCCUUCUGCACCCUGAUCCUGUGGUGUGUGACUGACACACACGGGGACAGGGGACAUUAAUUAAUCGGUGGCACUGGGAGAGCCAGGAGCAGGAGCUGCUUAUUCACACAGAGAAGAUGGGGAGAGGAGAGGGAAUUCAGCCUGGUUCAGUGGCACACAGUUCCCAUGGCAUUCUUUGGGGUGAAUGAUCCCUGCCAGCUCUGCUUCCCACACGGAUCCCUCCAUUCCACUGGCAGCACGGCACAGGGAGGGGACCUGUCACGUUAUUGUUGUGACUGUUGUGAGCUCCUGGGACCAGCUCUGUAAUUCCCCCCGUCUCCUCCUUGCCAUCUCCCCUCCAGCAGCAGGCCCUGGCUGUCACUUGCCACGCUGACAGCCCGCAGUGCUCUGGGGGAUGCCAUCCACCGAGGACAGCCCCGUCACCCUGUGCCCUGCACCAUCUGCUGCCAGCCAGCACAUCAGGCAGCCUGUGCACAGCCAGCAUGCCCUGCUUCCCAAGCCAGCAGGGAAUUCCCAGACCAGUUAAAAGGAUGCUGAAUUUGCUCAACGACUGUCCCCAGCAGUGCUGAGUGUCACUUCCAAACUGGUGCUGCCCUGAGAGACACAGCAGGACUGUGCCUGUCCUCCUGGGGGUCACAGGUGAGUCCUUGCCCCAUGAACCAUCAGUGCCUGUCCUCCUGGGGUCACAGGUGAGUCCUUGCCCCAUGAACCACCAGUGCCUGUCCUCCUGGGGUCACAGGUGAGUCCUUGCCCCAUGAACCCUGUGGGCAGCUGCUGGUGCUGUGCCCAUCCAUCCCAGCUGCUCCAUCCAGCAGGAUGCAGCUCAGAACCACAACCAGCAUUCCCUGUGCUCAGCUAGCUCAACCAGAAAAGGAAUUUUGGCUGCUGAAUGAGGGUCUCUGACACCCCACCUCCUCUGCCCACCUGGGCCAUGGCACCCAGCUCCUGUCACCACACAGACCGUGGCAGCAGCACCUCGGGGCCGUGGGAUUGUUGCCUCCCUGACAGCAGCCGUCACUGCUACCUUUGGAUUUGUUUCAAGAUGCUCAGUGGGCAUCUGUUCUGUGAAAUGUUAAAGGCUCUGCUGAGCUGCAUAUUGAGCAGGCUCUGCGCCGGCGGGGGCUGCCCUUUGCUGGAGUUACAGGCGGUUAUAGAUAUAUUUAUCCAGCUAAAAACAUGGAAUUAGGGAAAGGUUUGGGUUGGAAGGACUUUAAAACUCAUCUUGUUCCAGCCCUGCCAUGGCAGGGACACCUUCCACUGGCGCAGGUGCUCCAAGCCCCAUCCAGCCUGGCCUGGGACACUGCCAGGGAUCCAGGAGCAGCCACAGCUUCUCUGGAUAACCUGAUCCCAGCCCUCACCACCCAUCCCAGCGAGAUGCAGAAGGACACACGGGCAAUGGAGACCAGCAUCUCCCAACUCAAACUGUGGAGAAUUCUGCCAUGAGGUUCCUCAUGCUGCAAAAUCCUCACUGCAAACACAAAAGGGCCCUUGGGACUCUGCUGUAGUUUGAGCACCUCCUUCACUGAGUGCUGAGACCUUGUGGCUGCUGGAGCUGCUUCCCAGGAUGAGGAGAACAAGAGCCCCUUUGCUCCUCAAGCUGAGCUGCAGGAUCAAAUCCUCACCUGUGUCAACACCCUCAGCCACAGGGCAGUUUGUUCCUGGCAAACACAGCACAGUUCCCACAUCAAAGGUACAACCAAGUAUUGACCCAGGGAAUGCUUUGGCUCGAGAAAUCAAACACUGAGUGGCUUAGGAGCUCUAAGCUGAAGUAUGCAUAAAAAGUGACUUUUUAGGUAAAUCAGGUGACUUCAGCCUGGUCUAGAUAGAGGGUCAGGAAUGUUCUGGGACCUGCUGGACACACAGGGAUAGUGCUGGUCUCACACUGGGGCUCUGAGUCCAAGAUUUCAACCCUGCCCACAGGUGAGGAGGAGAGGUCAGCACCCGGAGCUGCCCCCAGGAGGAGCCCACCCCAGGCACCCAUCCCCGCUCUGGGGACAGGUGUCACUCGGGAGCCUGGGAGGCUGUUUGGUUACAGGUGUCACCAGCUUGGUGGCAGUGACAGCGCUGGGACGUGCGAGCCGGGAGCAGGCGGUGCCAGGCUGGUCUGGAGCUGUCACAGGGCACUCCUGGCAGCUGCCUGCCCACCCACGGGCUGUGCACCCACUCUUGGAGCUCAGAGCUCCAGAGGGGACCUGGCAGAGCUUCCCAGGAGAUUUCAAGUGUGUCACCAGAGUCCAGGAGAGUGAAAAAGUCUGUUUAGGCAGGGCAGAUAUUACCCUUUGAGUGUGGUGCACAGAAGAGUAUCCACUUGGAAGGGGAAGGUCAGUGAAAUCUUUUUGUCCUGACACAGCUGAUCUGAGAGCAGGGACAUUUCUGGCUUGGCUGUGUCCUGGGUGUUCUCCCAUCCGAGGAUGGGCACUGCCAGGUUGGGAAGCAAAGCCCCACAGCCCAGUGCCACCAGCAGAGCCUGCUCCACGAGCAUCAUUCCCAGGGGAUUUGGCUCCUUGCAGCUGUGACGUCCCCCCAUGCCUGCCACAGCUCCAGCACACCAAGUGCUGCACAGCAGAAAAUACCAAGAAGCAGCAAAUGUCCCCUUUGAAAGGCAAAUGAUUUUGCUGAUGAUUUCAGCCUCCUGCUCUGGAGGCAGUGAAUCUCCAGCCAGGAGCUCCAGGGGCUGGGGAUGCUGGGGGGCCCUUCCCUGCCAGCAGCAGGAUGUGCUUGGAGCACUGUCAAAUAUUAAUUAGACCUUUUUGCUGUUAAUGAAUCACUCCUGAUUUUUGCAAACUCUUGGCUUUCAAAUGCUGCACGCAGGGCCCAGCCCAGAGUGGGGACAGAGAGCAGGAAUGCCUCACAGCCACUCCUCCAGGUGACACCCACCUGCAGGACAGAAGAGCUCCUCUGGGGACAGUCAGCAGAGCUCCUUCAGACCACACAGUGCACCUUGCUCCUUUGGGAGCCUUUAUGGUUUUGUUUCCAAACUCCAGGAGGAAUUCCCUGCUGCCAGCUGCUCUCCUGCAGUGAGGAUCCCUCAUUUCCAGAGGGAAGAGCAGGAGCAGAGCACCCGCCCUCCUGCAUUCCUCUGGAAUUGCUGCUCUCACCAAGUGAGCGUGUCAGGGGGAGCAGCAAGCUCCCAGCUGGAAAAGCCCGUGCAGCUUGCAGGGAGGCAGUGGGAAUAAUCAGUCUUUGCCCUUCUCUGGUGCCUUUCAGCAGAGGAUCUCCAAGCACACUGAUCCAGAGGCUACUCAGGCAGAAAGGGAACAGCUGCCAGGACAGGGAUGAGGAGUGGCCUCACACACCAGGAGCAGUGGGCACGAGCUUCUGCAUCCUUGCUCUACCCUGGCAUUAACUCCUACCUGCCUCCCACUUCCCUGGAAUCACUGUGGAUGCUGCUGGUCCAUCAGGCUGAGGCAGAGCUCACCCUCUGGCAGACACACCUCACUGAUCAGGAUUAUGAUUUAUUCUCCAGGUAGGAUUGGUCCAACAGCCAGGCAGGUGAUGAAGAGCCUGAGCCCUGAUGCUGAUCCUCACCUCUGGGAGCUCAAACCCCCUUUGCCAGGAGAAGAGAUGGCAGAAGACACCGUGGCAAAGUGGCACCCAGCUGAAGCAACAUCCUGCCUCCAGCAGGGACCUUCCAGGCUGUCCCCAGCUCAGGAAUUCCCCCUCAUCCUCCAGAGGCAGCAGCACUGAGCCUGCUGUCAGAGCCACGCUGGGAGAAAGGGCAAAACCCUGCCGAGAUGAAAGAAUGGGAAGCACUGGAACAGCCUCCCCUGGCAUUUACACCUGGAGAAAAAAUAAAUCACUCAAGGGCAUCUCACAAAGAGCUGUGCUAACAAGGCUCUCCUCCCCACGCUGUGUGGCUGCGUGGGACAUGGAGCAGUGCCAGGAGUGCUGGCAGCAGCUCGGGGACCUGGCAGGGCAAAGGAGCAGGUAGGACAAGCCUGAGCUGAGCUCUGCCCACCCUGCUCCCAGCCAGGGCACAGAGGGACUUGGGCACCUGCCUGGAGUGCAGCUCCCCUUGUCUCAGCUGAUCUAGCAGAUUCCUUCCCCUCACACAUGUAUUUUCUACAGGCUCCUCUCAGCAGGGUGAGAAGUCAGGGUGAUGCCCACUGACCCUCCUGGCUUGUCUGCACAUCCUAUUUCCUUCACCACCCACAUUCCCCCUCCACAACCCUGUUCUGGCUCCUGUGGCUGGGCUCAUUCCACCACACAGACCUUCCCCUGCACCCAAAAGGAUUUUUUCUCCUUCUCUGAACACAGGGAAGAAGGCAGGUAUCACUGUCCCACUGCACUGUUUCUGCACUCAGGAUCCCCCUGGGGCAGGGAAAACACCAUCCACUGCAUCCUUUCUCCACCCCAUCCCUCUCAGAUCCUUUCUCCAACCCAUCCCUCUCAGAUCCUUUCUCCAACCCCUCUCUCUCCCAUCCCCUGCCAGCCAGACCUCCCACCACAUCCCACUGGGCAGCAGGUUUGGCUAGCAGACACAAAGAGCCAUGGCUGUCCUGUUGUUCUGGGGCCCCAGGGGCUGCUGCAGAUGGUCCCUGCUCCAGCCUUGGCCUGGGCUGGCACUGGACACCCUGACACAGCCUGUGCCAGCCAAGCCCUGGGCAUCCAGCCAGGAGAGGACAGCACCAAAUGGAAAGUCAGCCUUGGCAAGGCCUGGCAGAGCCUCAGAUCCUGCCUGUCCUGGCAGCAGAGGUGCUGCUCCUCAUUUUGAUCUCAUUUCUUCAGCCCAGCAUGACCAGGAGCCUCUCCAAGCCCUCAGAACUGAAGGACAAGAGCAGAUGAACACUCCCCAGGCUGCACGUCCUGCUCCAAGGGAAAGCAGUGCAUAAACCAGGCAGACCUGGAAGGUUCCUGCCAACCAGGCAGCCAAGAGUUUGGAGGCUCAGUCCUCACUAGCAGGAACCCAUGGGUGACUGAUAUGACACAAGCAGGCUGAGCAGGGACCCCCCCACUCCUCCAGCCUGAAUUACUGCAGAUGGGUUUGCCCAGAGGAUCAGCCAGAAAAGAAAAUGGGUGAGUAAAAAUGAAAAACACUUUUUUUCUUUUUUCCACAUUAGCAUUUAAAUAUUUAUGGAAAUCCCUGCAGACAAUGAGACAAAAAAGAAAACUCCAAGAGUAAUGAAUAAGUCAGUGCUCCAAGGUGUGGCUGCAUGUGCUGGUGGAGCUUUGGAGAGUGUGGUAACAAAAAAUAAUAAUGGUAAUAAUAAAAAUAUUAGAGCAGAUCCCUCUGCUCCCUGCAGCCACUGAGGGACAAUCAAACCUUGGCAAAAGGCAGAAUGACCUCUUCUUUUCCAUGCAGUGUCCUGGGGCCUGGCCUUGGACACUUCCAGGGAUGCAGGGGCAGCACAGCUGCUCUGGGCACCUGUGCCAGGGCCUGCCCACCCUCACAGAAGGAUUCCUUCCUAAAUCCCUGAAAUGGCAUGGAAUUGAAUGGGAUGGGAUGGGAAGAAUGAGUGCCAGCAGUCAGGGGCUGGUUCCAGCUCUCCCUCCAGGCUGUGAGAGCAGCACUGCUGCAGCAGAGCUCCAGGGCUAAGAGCAGACACAGAACAAAAGGGAAGAGCCCAGAUUUUGGAGCUGCAGGUGCCUGCUGUUCCCACUGACUCUCAGCUGGGGAGCAAUUGCUCCAUGCCUCUGGAAAGGAGCCUCAGUGCAGCAGAGGUUCUCAAAGAAGGAAAGGAUUGGCAUCCAAGAUGUUUGAUACGACGAGAGCAGAGCUUUAGAGAGUAAACAAAUCCUGUGCCAAAAGCUGCUCUCAUUUACAGCUACAAAAAUCCCAAGUCACUCUGAACUGCUGAAAACAUCAGUUUCACCAGCAGUCAGGGAAAUAAAAUCACAGAAUCAGGGAAUCACGUAAUGUUUUGGGUUGGAAGGGACCUUAAAGCUCAUCUUGUUCCACCUCACCCAUGUCCUGGUGACCCCAAGGCUUCCAGUAGUCAGGCAAACCUGGAAAUACUGAAUCCUCAAGGAGGAGAAAUAAAUACCCAAGCAGGAAGCAAAAAAGGGAAUUCUCUCUCCAAAGUGCUCUGAGUGUGUGUGUGGAAGAAACCUCUGGGGUGAGAAAGGCUGAUAUACCAGAAAAUAUUCUGUCUUUAUGGUUUCAAUUUCAGAAACACUUCUUAAAUUAGGACUGGGUGAAAAGGGGAGCCCAGCACGGGGCUGGCUUCUGCUCCUGCUCCUUCCUACAGCAGUGUGUGUGGGGUCCACCUGGCAUUUUUGGGGUGUCCUUCCAUGGCAUUUGUGGGAAGGUGAGCUCUGCCACCCUGCCCCACCCGAGGCUGGUCCCUGGCAGGCUGCACAAGCAGCUCCUCCAGGCAGGAGCCCCCGCUCCCUCCGGUGGGAUCCCACCGGUAACUCUCAUCAUUUCAGCACAUUACAAUUAGGGAAUCAUUCCUUUAAAAAUAGAAUUUGCAUUAGCUGGAUUUGUGAGUAGGAAAGCCACCGCAAACAAACAGAAAACCUGCAGAUUAAGAUGCUAAUUAGAUGCAUUUCUAUUUAUAAUCUGCCUUGAUCAGCCUCAAGUAUUUUCUCUUUCAGGUGUCUGUGCUCCACCCACGGAUGUGAGCAAUUCCCCUGGCAGGGAAACACCUGCUGCUCCCUGGGGACAGCCAGGCACUGGGAAAAGCCUGUGCCAGAGGGCCGGGGCUGCAUCCUGCUCCUUCUCCUUGGGCACAGCCCCAGGGCAGGGAAGAGCUGGGCCUGGCCAAGGAUGACCUGCCCGGGGCCUUUCCUACAAACAGCACAUUCCUCUGUGCUGGGAAACUGCAGGAGGCUUUGCCUUUCCCACCACAAGGGGUGGAAAUCACAGAGUCAUGGAAUCAGCUGGAAAAGAUCUUUUAAGAUCAUCAAGUCCAACCAUCAGCCCUGCACCACCAUGGUCAGCCCUGACCAUGUCCCCAAGUGUCACAUCCAUGUUUUUUCAACACUUUCAGGGAUGGGGACUCCACCACUGCCCUUUCCAUGAAGGAAUUUCCCCCCAUCUCCACCCUAAACCUUCUCUAAGGCCACUUUGUCUCAUCCUGUUCCUUGUUUCCCCCCCUGGCUGUCCCCUCCUGUCAGGAGCUGUGCAGAGCCACAAGGUCCCCCCUGAGCCCCCUUUUCUCCAGGCUGAGCCCCUUCCCAGCUCCCUCAGCCCCUCCUGGUCGUGAUGGGUUGGAUUUGAUGGCCUUGAAAGGUCCUUCCUCACCCAAACUAUUCCAUGAUUGUGUGGAAUCUGCACCGCCAGGGCUGGGAAUGGCAAGGAUCUGCAGCUGGUGUCACUUGUGGAGUGGAGAGCUCAGUCUGAAAAUGACAGAGACACAUCAGGGGCUCACUGAAACCAGUCAGAGUCACUGGGAUCAUUCCCUGGAUGUUCCAUUUUUGGAGCAAGCUGGGACUUCAGUGCUGAGUGGGAUGUUCCCAGCUAAGCCAGGGCUUGUCUUGGUGCUUGGAUUUGUAAUCACAGUGGAAAAACAACUUUUUGUUGUUGCAUUUUUUGUUUGUUUGUUUUGUUUUGUUUUCCCUGGAGCUUCCUCCUUCACUGCAGAACAUCCAGAAGGAAUAAAGAAACACCAGGUCCACACUGUUCUCCCUCUAAAGCCUUAACAACAGGAUAGGAGAAGUGUUUUGGGCCAUAGGAUUUAUUACUAAUGGGGUUCAGGGGCAUUUGUGACCUGGGCAAAAGGAUUCAGCAAAAAUUCACUGAUAAACCAAGAUUUAACAAUGUGAAAAACAGCUCCAAGGUUGUGGGGUUUUUUAAAAUGCAGCUCAAAGAAAGAAAUUUAAAAGAUAUGAGUCAUCAUUCUGCAAUGUGCAUCAAACAAGUUAAAUAACUCUUACUUUCUUAACGACAUAUUAAUCAAAGUGCAUUGAUUCUUGAAUCAGAUUCUACUCCCAACAAGCUCUCUAUCUUCUCCAUCCUGAUGCAUGCAUUAAGAGAGUUUUAUUCUGACAGAUACAAUAUAGCAAUCAAUAAAAUCUUAUUAUAUGGAGCAGGGAUACAUGGAUUUGUUGCAGGAUUUAUGCACUACUUUCAAACCCGGAGCUAUUUCAUGUCUCAGCCUUAACCUGUAAUUGAAAAUAAAUCUCCCUGAAUACACCAGAUUCUAAUUUUCUGGAUCUAUGGGCAAAUGUGACUGGAAGCUGCCCUUCCCUCGGGGAGCAGGGAGCUCUUGGGCCUGUGCCUGCCUGGGGAGCACGGCUGGAUUGGCACAUUCCUCUGGAGAAACCCCUGGGCAGGCAGGGAGCUGUGGGCAAGGGGCAGUGCUGGGCACCACGGUGGGCACCCACCAUGCUCCCAAACCCUCCUCGUGCUUCCAAAGGCACUUGCUGCCUCCUGGGCAGGGAAAACACAGCCUGGCAGUGCCAGGGCCUGGCCCGUGUGGGCAUGGCAAGGCUGGCAGGGAUGGAUGGAUGGAUGGAUGGACAUCAGGAUGACCACAGAAGCUGCUGUUUCUCUGCUGCUUUCCUCCAGUUCCCAAGGUUUGAUUUUGCUCACAGCAUCAUGGAAUGGUUUGGGUUGGAAGGGACUUUAAAGGGUCCUUUAAUUUUAAUUUAAAUGGUCCCUUAAAUUUUGCUCACAGGAUCAUGGAAUGGUUUGGGUUGGAAGGGACCAGUGCCACCCCCUGCCAUGGGCAGGGACACCUUUCACUGUCCCAGGCUGCUCCAAAACCUUGCCUUGCACACUUCCAGGGAUCCAGGGGCAUCCACAGCUUCUCUGGGCACCCUGCGCCAGGGCCUCAUCCUAAAAAAUGUCUUCCUUCCCUCCUUUCCCCUCUCAGCAGCACGUGAGGGCUUGGAGGCUGCUCUCCCCUGGCAGGCUGGCACAGCUGGGCACAGCUGGGCAGGCUCAGCAGGCACAGCAGCCAGAUGCCCACGGGCAUUUUUCCUUUGGGCUCGGCUGGGCAGCCGAGGGCUCGGUGCCACUCGGAUGUAUGACAGCAGGUGGAAACCCAGCAGUCUCCCUGGAAAUGGCUGGAGGGGACUCUGAUCUCAGCAGCUCUGUCAACAGCGUUAAUACAAUAAAAAUAAUCAAAUUCACUCGGAUGGAAAUGAGAGAUGGAGGGAUCGGCAGGCAGCAGCACAAAUCCCAGGGAAUAAAGAGGAUGGCAGCAACAGCACAUCCCCUCUGCACCACCAGGAGCUCAGAGGCUUCUCAGAAGAGCCAGGAUCUUGAAUUCAUCAGUCACUGGGUUUUUUUCCCCCUUUUUUUGGGCAGGGCUUGGAGCAACCUGGUCUAAUGGAUGGUGCCCUUGUUAAUGGGACAGGAUGAGCUUAAAGGUCUCUUCCCAUCCAAACCACUCCAUAAAUCUGUGAAACUCCAGCCCUGAGGGACUUGGCCACCACGUGCAGCCUGCAGGUGACUGGUGGGGACACCACAAGGGUCAGCAGUGAGCAGAAUGCUGGCACAGAGGCAGGAAAGCCAUGGCUGGGGUUCUGGGGACACCGUGUGCUGGCAUUCUGCCUCACCUCUAAAACACUCACCUGGAUGACCUGGAAGGGGCAGAUACAGGGAAUUACAGCCUGGAUUCACCUCUGUUGGAUCCUGCCAGUAUGGUUUUGGCUCCAGAGUAACCAAUUUGUGCUUAAUGGGGAUAAUUCAGCCUCCAGAUCCAAUCCCUGCGACAGGACACAAGCCCUUUCAUUCCCUCCAGGGUUUUUUACCACCACAGGACAUUUGCCAUCUCUGAGUGAUCUCCAGAGGCUGCUGAUGAGGCUGGGGCAGGCAGGGUGAGGAUGGGGCCAUGGGAUUGCUCCUGGCACUGCUGGAUAAAUGAGGCUUGGGAAAAACCCAGUCCCACUGACCUGACAUCCCCGAGAGAUGGAGAGGAGGCAGGAGAGGGAAGGAAGGGAAGGAAGGCAGAGUGGGGUAGGGAUGGGGAAGGGAGCUCAAGGGGGACAUCAGGGAGGUCACUGACUGCUGGGGGGCUUGUCCAAGCACCUCCUGAGCCAUCCUGAACCCCCCACUCCUGCCACUGCUCCCCUCCCUUGUUUCCAGCUCCGAGCUUUGCUCAGCUGCCGAAAGGGUUAAGUUUAAUUUAUACUGAUUUCUAUUUAAUAUCAUUCUCUCCCCGUAGGAGCCGGCAGCUGUGAGCUGAUUGUAGUCCCUCAUUAUGCAGUCUGUAUCACUAAUGGCCUGUGACAAAGGCAUGCCAUCUUCCCGGCCUUACCCCCGAGAGCCAAUUAAACACACAUACUCCCUUCCUGUUUGCGGCGCAUUACAAUGAAAUUAAACUGAAUUUCAAAAUCAUUUUCUCCUAAAGACAUCUCUUUGCAAUAAUUAAUGCACGCUAUUCCUUUGCAGCUGAAAUAUUCAUCAGGAGUGUUGACUAAAAAAAUUUUUAAAGCUGAUUGCCCUGCACCCCACGUGAGGGCUGGUGGUGCUCUGGUCCCAGCCUGGGGUGCCUGCCUGGCUUGGGGACUCGUGGUGACACUGCUGGCAGAGUGAGCUCUGCUUCGGGAGAACAAUUAGAAUAAAUCACAGCUUCUUCAGGAA